rnacentral:tRNA from 1 species
GCACCCAUAGCUCAACGGGUAGAGCAACUGACUCUUAAUCAGUAGGUUCCGGGUUCGAGUCCCUGUGGGUGUACCA